GGGCUUCCACAGAUAACGCCUUUGUUUUACAAAGGCUGCCCCCUAGAACCUGAACGUGCGAUUGGUGGGAGGCAGAUAAGUAAAAGAGGAUGUGCUGUCUAAACCCGCGACCUCUUCUUGACGUCCACGCUGGGUGUCCAUGUCCUGCGAACGAGACAGAACCUUCUGACCGAGAAUGGUUCCAGGCUAACAGCACAGGUAUGUAUUUUAUCGCACAUGACCAACGUGAAGCAGCCGGCGUGUCAGCGGUAGACGCCGGAGUCCGCAGGUACAGCGCUGCCGGAUUACCGCACAGGAAACCGAUGAAACAACUCGGCUUCACAGGAAGGUUCUCCGGCUCUGAGCACCACCGCUGCCUGACCUAGCUACGACAACUGCCCUCUGUCCAACAACUUGCUUUAUUUUUUUCAGAAGCUGUAGCAGCAUGGGAAUAGACACGGGAGAAAAGCACGGGGAUACAAGUAUUUCUUCUGACUCAACUUUCUAAAUGUUUCAGUCACACGUGUUAAUGAGCUUAAUCACCAUCCCUAGGAUGUAAUGCAGUUCCAAAAUGAGGGCAAAGAAAGCGUCUUAUCAUUUCUGGCACCAAAACUGCAAUACUCUUCCAACCCAGCUCACCACCUUGAUGGAGAGGAAAAAGAGAAGGACUAAGGAUGACACUGUAAAAGCAAAACCAUGUCUGUUCUCAAUUGUUUGAUCUUUUACAGAGUGCUUUUCACACUCAUUCACGAUUGUAUGUAAAGAACAGAUACUUUACCCAACAACUUUCAAAUUCAUUUACAUGUUGCUAAAAGCUAAGAGUGUUUUUGUGUACUGUUUUGCACUUAAAAAUGAUGGAGUCCACCCUCAAAAUCUGUCAUUUUGCCACAGCAAAGCUCAGACAAAAACUACUUUCAUAGGGAAGUGAUGCCAGCAAUAAUUCUGAUUACUCUUUUGAGAAAGUAGGGACCCACACAGAAGCACAAUACAUUGCUGUUCCUUAGGAGUAUUUGCAGUGUCCUGCAGAAGCCACCUCUCUGGCUACUCGAUAUGAUCAACCAGCCAUAAAUGGUUUCAUCCAUUUGUAUGAUUUGCACCACAGAAACACAAGCACUUACCAAUGAAGAAAGCAGGUAUUUCCAUCAUCUCCAACCACUGUCAGAUUCGUUAUCUUCCAGCCAGUCUUCCCAAUGCCUGCUCCCAAGUCAGUCUACUGUUAACAGCUUUUCUCCUACCCUAAAGGGCCCACAGAGGUGUAGUUCCCUCACAUUAAGCGUUUCUCCAUUGCUCAGAGGGGCAGAGGGAAAAGCGAGCAUUGCAGGAUGCCCUCACCAGCCAAAACCACCAGAGGAGAUGGGCCAUCGCACUGCAGAGAAUAGGAGAGCGUGGGGCCCUGCCACCCUAAUCAACACCUUCCUCCCUGAGCAGCCAGGCCUUCUGAAGCACAAUGUAAAAUGAAAAAAAGAUGUGUGUGUAUACAUAUACAUGUAUAUGUUUAUAAAUUUGGUUGUUAAAAUCAGAGUCCUAAUGUAGAAGGCAGAGAAUGGUAAUAGCAGUACCUCAGUGUGGAAAACCUGUUCAUCACCUCCCAACCAUUACCUGAGCUAUAGAAAGCCAAUUGUUUUCUGUAUGCUUUAAUGUAUGACGCAGAUCAUGCUGCAAUGUGAUGCAUUCUUCCUACACUGAGAUUGUCUCUCAAAAGAUGCACAGAAAAUUAAAUGCCCAAGCUAACUUCAAAGCACCUUUAAAAGGAGCAGUUUAAUUGCUCUGUGCACUUAGAACAGAGACACAAAUUUUAUGUUAAGCCUCCACCCAUUCAUCAUACCUAACAUAAUAAAUGCAUCUCAAACUUUUUUUUCUUAUGCUAUUUAAUAAAAAAUUAGUCUGAUGGAUGGCAAAAUUGCUCUCAUCAGCUAUGCCUUUAAGUACAUACAACAGUAGUUUUAUGUAAUAUCUGUAUUUUCAAUGAAAUUCGUUAACUAAAACAUUAACAGUAUACUCAUGAAUAACUAUUUUCCACUAAAGAAUAAAAAAAUGCACAUGAUAAUUGGGUACUGUGUUAAGAAAGCAAAAGAUGGAUGGCAGGUAUCAUCAUAAACUUUUUUCCUAGUCUAAUUCCUUAAUGCAUAAAGGGAUGUGUCUGCUAAUUUUAGGAAAAGCUAGCAAAAAAGGGGGGGGAAAAAAGGCAAAGAAACCUUUGAAGUAUUUGAGUGUGCUAAACCAGGAUGGCCAUACUAGGUACAGAACACAUUGAUGAAUAAUUGAAGCAAAUUAACCUUAAGGACUACAGCAUUUAGAAGAACGGAGCUUUAACCUCUCCAAUCCCCUCCAGUAUUUCUGAAGGAAUAUUUUCAUAUGGUGCUUUUCAUUCAGAUACCACAAAGCAGUUAACAGGAUAAAUAUUAUUUGAUCAGUUUAUCAGAAGGUGGACAGCACUAUGUGGUGUCACAGGGCUGGGGUUCAUGGCUGCUGCAAUUCCCACAAUGGAGCUGGUGCAGUGAAACACCCUCCUUUUCCAUGCAAGGUAACCUUGCACUAGCAUUAAGCGUCACCAAUGCUUUUAUAGGUGUCUCAUUCAUUUUUCCUUGGAAAACUAGCUCCCUCCCUCUGACUUAUGUGUGACUUACAUGGGAGACUUUUUUACAGAUAUUUGAAAAAUUAGACAAAAUAUAUUACUACUUAAAUCGACUAAGCACUGAGGCAAAACUAACUGUUGCAAAGGAAAAAUGGACUAUGAAUUCCCUGCAAAGUACCAAAAUAAUUUGUUAACUGUACAUAUCUGUUACAAUUUCAAUUUCAGUUAUAUUAACUUGACGCUGCCAUUAUUCCACCAAAAUAAUCUAAGACACCACUAAUGACUCCAGUUUGUUUAACACAUCCCAGUAGCCCAUUUCGUAGAGCAGUGCUCACAUCCUGGCUUUACAGAAGGGAAGCGGGUACAGAGGCAAACUAGUAACUGCAUUUUCAAAGGGUUAAGAGCACCUCAACUAAUAGGCUAUAUAACAGGGAGGGGGCAACAACUUAAAACGGAUGAGCAUAUUUUGAAUUUGACUUCAAGAAAUUAGUUUGUAGCAUGGUCCCUUGGUUAGCAUUUACUGCAAGUGAGCAUCAUGCAAAAAAUUGCCAUCAGCUGAUCAGUUUGACUUCUAUAGCUUCAGCUGAUUUGUAUGUAUUUAGAAAGAUUUGAUUCUAGAUUUGCAUUACUCUAGGUCUGUCCUACUGCAGAAAAAAUAAAUGUCUCAGUUUUACUGAAAAAAAAUGAAGUAACCUUAUGUCUUUAUAACAAACACAUUAUCUUCUUUUAAAAGAUAAUGUAACUAACGCAGUCUUAUUUAAUAUGCAAGAUGCACACACAGAAUCUGCAUUUUAGGUUUAAAUAAGACUGUACCAAUCUGCCAUAUUGUCAACAUUUACCAAGGAAAAUGCAUCAGCACACAAAAGCUGACAGUCCCACUGACUCCUAAGCAUGUGAGCUAUCUCCUCAACAUUAGCUACAUAAAAUUAAGUCUUUGUAGAAUCCUGCUCUAAUUUGGGAUUUGUUUUGUAUUAGACACUUUAUUCUCCCCCGUAAUUUUCACAACCACAAGUAGUAUUGCAUACAAGUAAAUUAUGAAUACAUUUUUUUUUUUUUUUUAAAACUUUAUUAAAUUACGCCGUAAGAACCCAUCUCCACACAAGUGUUUCAUUUCCGGAUAGCAGAGGUAUAAUACAUGAGCUACAGGUGAGUGCAUUACCCCUCCCUUCCCCCCAGCUUCCAAGAAAUAAAACAGCAUGUAUAAUACACUCUUGUUACUAUGGUACUCCAAAAAGAUUGUUCCUAAGGUUAUUUUUAACUGGAGAAAAAUAAAAAGGACCAACAGUGUCAA